AGGACAAAGGUUGGAAUCAAUGGUAUGUUUUCAUGUGAUUUUUUUAUUUUUUGUUGCUUUUCCUUUUUAUUCAGGGUGGUGCAAAGAACUUGCAGAAUGUUCAAAGUCUAAUAGAAGUUAUAUCUAGGUGAAUUUAGAAUAUGUACUUAACUUAUUGAUGGUAUGGCUGAAUGGCAGUGUUUACAGCUCUGUGUUUAUAACAUUAUAUUAUUCUAAAAUAGGUCUAUUGUUAUCUUAAUAUUGGGACUUUUGCAUCUAGGUACUAGUGGAUGAAAUGGAUGCCUUCCAGAUACAUGUUUAAAGAUAGAGAUUACUUUCCAUUGCAAGGACUUGAAAUGAGCUUCUUGAAAGCAUUCUUGUGUUUCAUAGUGGUUCUUAAAUUCUCUCUUAACUUAUUCUCAAGUUGCAAUAAGAAGUUGGCUAAGAAUCCUUCUGUUAAUGAAAGAGGAUGUCUGUCACAAGAGAAUUUAUUGAAAAAAAUGUUUGAGGAAAAACUAUCAUAGAAGAAUGACUGAGAUUGGUUUCUGCUAUCUGUUUCGUUUACCAGUUUUUCCACUGGCUGAUUGAGAAUAGAUGGUGGCCUUGUAUAGAAACUGUUGCUCAAGAAAUUAGCACUGAAAAUCUAAUUCAGUCUCUUAUUUUACCUCCUUUCAUUGUUGUGGCUUCUUAAAUGAGGUUUAUUUUUUGGUUCUGCACUGUAAUAGCAACAAUUUUAUGCUAUAUUGAUGCAGGCUUUGGUCGCAUUGGAAGAUUG
rnacentral:misc_RNA from 1 species